rnacentral:rRNA from 1 species
GACGGAGGGGGCUAGCGUUGUUCGGAAUUACUGGGCGUAAAGCGCGUGUAGGCGGCUUGGCAAGUCGGUUGUGAAAGCCCGGGGCCCAACCCCGGAAUUGCAUCUGAAACUGCCUCGCUAGAGUCCCGGAGAGGAAGGCAGAAUUCCCGGUGUAGGGGUGAAAUCCGUAGAUAUCGGGAGGAAUACCAGCGGCGAAGGCGGCCUUCUGGACGGUGACUGACGCUGAGACGCGAAAGCGUGGGGAGCAAACAGG